rnacentral:rRNA from 1 species
UACAGAGGUCUCAAGCGUUGUUCGGAUUCAUUGGGCGUAAAGGGUGCGUAGGUGGCGCUGUAAGUCGGGUGUGAAAUUUCGGAGCUUAACUCCGAAACUGCAUUCGAUACUGUGGUGCUUGAGGACUGGAGAGGAGACUGGAGUUCAUGGUGUAGCAGUGAAAUGCGUAGAGAUCAUGAGGAAGACCAGUGGCGAAGGCGGGUCUCUGGACAGUUCCUGACACUGAGACACGAAGGCCAGGGGAGCAAACGGG